GUGGGGAAUAUUGGACAAUGGGCGAAAGCCUGAUCCAGCCAUGCCGCGUGUGUGAAGAAGGUCUUCGGAUUGUAAAGCACUUUAAGUUGGGAGGAAGGGCAGUAAGUUAAUACCUUGCUGUUUUGACGUUACCGACAGAAUAAGCACCGGCUAACUUCGUGCAAGCAGCCGCGGUAAUACGAAGGGUGCAAGCGUUAAUCGGAAUUACUGGGCGUAAAGCGCGCGUAGGUGGUUUUGUAAGUUGGAGGUGAAAUCCCCGGGCUCAACCUGGGAACUGCCUCCAAAACUGCAUGACUAGAGUACGGUAGAGGGUAGUGGAAUUUCCUGUGUAGCGGUGAAAUGCGUAGAUAUAGGAAGGAACAACAGUGGCGAAGGCGACUACCUGGACUGAUACUGACACUGAGGUGCGAAAGCGUGGGGAGCAAACAGGAUUAGAUACCCCGGUAGUCC
rnacentral:rRNA from 1 species